AGAAUCAACGCUGGCGGCGUGCCUAACACAUGCAAGUCGAACGAGAAAAGGGAGCAAUCCCUGAGUACAGUGGCGACCGGGUGAGUAACACGUGACUAACCUACCCUCGAGUGUGGAAUAACAUCGGGAAACCGAUGCUAAUACCGCAUAACAUCGCAAGAUCAAAGGAGUAAUCCGCUUGAGGAGGGGGUCGCGGCUGAUUAGCUAGUUGACGGGGUAAUGGCCCACCAAGGCGAAGAUCGGUAUCCGGCCUGAGAGGGCGCACGGACACACUGGAACUGAAACACGGUCCAGACUCCUACGGGAGGCAGCAGUGGGGAAUUUUGCGCAAUGGGGGAAACCCUGACGCAGCAACGCCGCGUGGAGGAUGAAGCCCCUUGGGGCGUAAACUCCUUUCGACCAAGACGAUUAUGACGGUACUGGUGGAAGAAGCACCGGCUAACUCUGCGCCAGCAGCCGC
rnacentral:rRNA from 1 species